UGUCUGUAGUGCCAGCGCUGUUCCUGGCGUGCAUGGAAUACGUCCAGUUCAAUGUGAUUGUGGGAGGAAUCUAAGGGUGGUCCAGUUCUACAUCAAAAAUUGAGAAGCUCAGGCAUGAAUUUGAUGAGCAUUUGGUGCCAGUUGUCUGUGAAUAUCAGAAACCUCUUCAGGACGUACAUUCCGUUGCAUCUGCACUCAAGGUGUACUUCCUUGAACUUCCAAACCUUCUGUGCACAUACCAGCUCUACCACUCCUUUUUUGAUGCCUCUCAGCACAGUCCUGAAGUGGGUUGCAGACUUUUCCACAUGCAGCAUGCUGUGCAGAAACUGCCACAUCCCCACUAGAGGUAUCUUACGUGAUGCUUGUUAAUAAAUAAAGAAUUUUGUGUCAUGAACAAGUAUUUUACAUAGCUCAUCUCUGUUUAUUGUAUUGUACCCGUUUCACUUGUUAAAAAAGUAAUAUUUUAGGAAAUUGGUUAUCAGCAAUUCAGCUGAAUGCCAUCAGUUCAAUUUAACAGGGUUGCAAACCAUAAUAUUUCGUCAGGUCACAUUUCCUCUUUGAAUUCUUGUCAAGCAACUUCCUUAUUUGGCUAUGCUAUACUUUUCAGUUGCUACUUCUGCAAGAGUUAGGUGAGUUUGCAAGACAUGGAAAUUUAAAGCAGAGGACAUGUUUCUAAAAUGUUAUG